rnacentral:rRNA from 1 species
AUGAACGCUGGCGGCGUGCCUAAUCCAUGCAAGUCGAGCGAACAGACGAGGAGCUUGCUCCUCUGACGUUAGCGGCGGACGGGUGAGUAACACGUGGAUAACCUACCUAUAAGACUGGGAUAACUUCGGGAAACCGGAGCUAAUACCGGAUAAUAUAUUGAACCGCGUGGUUCAAUAGUGAAAGACGGUUUUGCUGUCACUUAUAGAUGGAUCCGCGCCGCAUUAGCUAGUUGGUAAGGUAACGGCUUACCAAGGCAACGAUGCGUAGCCGACCUGAGAGGGUGAUCGGCCACACUGGAACUGAGACACGGUCCAGACUCCUACGGGAGGCAGCAGUAGGGAAUCUUCCGCAAUGGGCGAAAGCCUGACGGAGCAACGCCGCGUGAGUGAUGAAGGUCUUCGGAUCGUAAAACUCUGUUAUUAGGGAAGAACAAAUGUGUAAGUAACUAUGCACGUCUUGACGGUACCUAAUCAGAAAGCCACGGCUAACUACGUG